GUUGCCCCUGCCCGCCCAGCGCCGGGCGGAGCGGCGGCUGUAAACAAACCGGGCGAUGGCGGUGGUUGUGCGUUCUGCUGUGGGGCUGUGAGUGCCAGUGUGUGCCGGGGCCGGCGGCUCCGGGGUGCUCCCCGGGCAGGGCUGCGGCGGUACGGGCUCGGGGCUGGCGGCACACAUGGAUGACAGCAAGGUGGUUGGAGGCAAGGUAAAGAAACCAGGAAAGCGAGGUCGUAAACCAGCCAAGAUAGACUUGAAGGCAAAACUUGAAAGAAGUCGUCAGAGUGCAAGAGAGUGCAGAGCCAGGAAGAAGCUGAGGUACCAGUACCUGGAAGAGCUGGUUUCAAGCAGAGAACGAGCCAUCUGUGCUCUCAGAGAAGAGCUUGAGAUGUAUAAGCAGUGGUGCAUGGCGAUGGACCAAGGGAAAAUCCCCUCUGAAAUAAAAGCCCUGCUAACUGGAGAGGAGCAAGGCAAAGCACAGCAGAACUCAACGAAACUUGCCAAGACUGGGAAGACAGAAGCAAACAGCAACAAUCCCUAUGGGUACAGCAUUCCACCCAUUUCUCCUGCAGUGAGUGUGUGCAGCUGGUUCUCUCUCACAAACAUUGAAGAAAGGAAAUAAACCUGGAAAUGCUUCAUUUUCCCACUUGCCAUGGAAAUCUGAUGGUCAUCUAGAACUAUUUGCCCAGCUAAAGGGUAAAGAUAAAUCUAUGUAAAUAAUGAGUCUAGUUCUUCCUGGCAUCCCAUGAAGAGAUGGAGGAGAUUUGGCAUCAUAGUUCCAUUUCCUACUUUCCAAUAAAUUAUAAUCUCUAUAAUUAGCUAUGAAAUUACUAUUAAUAUAAGGACCAAAUGUGUGAGACUAGUCUAAAAAUGCAGAGAAAUCAAAGGAAAAGCUGAAAUAAGAGCCCUGGUCCUUCUCCUUAUGCUUACAAGAUACAGCAUGAGUGACAGAUGAUCAUCUGAUGUAGAAAUACCUUUUGUAGGUAAGCAAGGCAAAGCACCAGCCUGUGAGUGGCCUGCUCUUAGUGCUGCUGAGCAUUAAUUCCUGUGUAUGUUGUGUCAAUAACUGAAUUUCUUGUAUGGCUCCUGUGAAUUUGUAUGGGAAAACAGAAGCUUCUAAUCCUCAGUAAAAUCUGAGGUAUUGCAUACUGAAUAGCGCAUCAAUGGGCUAAAAUUCAACUGAUGCUGUACCCAUGGAAUGUAUAGAUUUGUAUAGGUGGAUAUACAAGUAGAAUUUGUAGUGUCAGUCACAGCGAUUGCCUUGAGCAAUUUCUGCAGAGACUGUUGCUUGAUAUUAUUUAUACCAUUAUUUGUAUUUUAUCUUCACAUUUUAACUAAAAAAUGCUGUAAUUGUUCAGCUAAUGGUUUUCAACAACACCUCAUUAAAACAAAAAACAAACCCA